rnacentral:rRNA from 1 species
CCUACGGGAGGCAGCAGUGAGGAAUAUUGGUCAAUGGACGAAAGUCUGAACCAGCCAAGUAGCGUGAAGGAUGACUGCCCUAUGGGUUGUAAACUUCUUUUAUAUGGGAAUAAAAUGUUCCACGUGUGGGGUUUUGUGUGUACCAUAUGAAUAAGGAACGGCUAACUCCGUGCCAGCAGCCGCGGGAAUACGGAGGAUCCGAGCGUUAUCCGGAUUGAUUGGGUUUAAAGGGAGCGUAGGUGGAUUGUUAAGUCAGUUGUGAAAGUUUGCGGCUCAACCGUAGAAUUUCAGUUGAAACUGGCAGUCUUGAGUACAGUAGAGGCGGGCGGAAUUCGUGGUGUAGCGGUGAAAUGCUUAGAUAUCACGAAGAACUCCGAUUGCGAAGGCAGCUCACUGGACUGCAACUGACACUGAGGCUCGAAAGUGUGGGUAUCAAACAGGAUUAGAUACCCCAGUAGUC